UACGGGGGGGGGCAAGCGUUGUUCGGAAUUACUGGGCGUAAAGGGCUCGUAGGCGCCAACGUAGUCGGACGUGAAAUCCCUCGGCUUAACCGGGGAACUGCGUCCGAUACUGGAUGGCUUGAGUAUGGGAGAGGGAUGCGGAAUUCCAGGUGUAGCGGUGAAAUGCGCAGAUAUCAGGAGGAACACCGGUGGCGAAGGCGGUUCUCUGGGCAUUACCUGACGCUGAGGAGCGAAAGUGUGGGGAGCGAACAGG
rnacentral:rRNA from 1 species